UUUUUAUUUUCUCCCAUUGAGAUGUCAUCCUCAAAUUCCGGGACAAGAUUGAGAAAAUGGAGAAAGAUGUGUAUGCAGUUCUGCAGCUAGAGGCGGAGGAAAAAGAGAUGCAGCAGUCAGAAGCCCAGUCAAUACAGCAAAGCGGCUCCUGGAGAAGGGGAAGGAGGCAGUGGUCCAAGAGCCCGAGAGGAGCUGGUUCCAGACCAAAGAAGAGAGGAAGAAGGAGAAAAUGCCAAAGCUCUGCAGGAAUUUGACUUGGCCUUAAGAGGAAAGAAGAAAAGGAAGAAGUUUAUGAAGGAUGCCAAAAAAAAGGGGGAGAUGACACAGAGGAAAGGUCUCAGUUUGAAAUCCUCAAGGCGCAGAUGUUUGCUGAACGGCUAGCGAAGAGGAAUCGCAGAGCCAAGCGGGCCCGAGCAAUGCCCGAGGAGGAGCCAGUGAGAGGUCCUGCAAGAAGCAAAAGCAGGGGAAGAAAUCUGUAUUUGAUGAAGAACUCACCAACACAAGCAAGAAGGCCCUGAAACAGUAUCGAGCUGGCCUUCCUUUGAAGAAAGGAAACAGUUGGGCUUGCCCCACCAGAGACGAGGAGGAAACUUUAAAUCUAAAUCCAGUACAAGAGGAGGAAGUAGCUGUCGUGGCCUGAAGAAAUUCAUGGGGGCAGCCCUUAAAUCCCUUCCCUGUGGGAAGUCAUCCUGGCUGGUCUGUCUUUUCUCCAUUUGUUUAAAAAAAAAACAAAAACAAAAAACAACACUUUGGUGUGGUGGUAUGGUACGUAGCUAUUUUCCUAAGCAUGUCUGUCAAUCUCCCUUCUUGCUGAUUAGCUUUCAUAUGACUAUAUUAAAUGGAAGUAUUUUUGGGAAAAGAGAAA
rnacentral:lncRNA from 1 species